AUAAAUUUUUAUAGUUUUAUAAUUUUAUUAUAAAUUUAUUUUACAUACAAAUUUUAGUAUAAAAUUUUAAUUAUUUAAAUAAUAUAAUGAUUUUGUAGUAAUUAUUUUUAAAAUAUUUAAGAAAUUAAGAUUUAGUAAUAUAUAAAUAAAUAACAAAUUUUGUGCCAGCAGUUGCGGUUAUACAAAAAUUUAAUUAAAAUUUUUCAGUGAAUAAUAAAUAAUAUAAAAAUUAAAUAAAAAAUUAAAUUAUUAAGUAAAAUUUUAAUUUAAUAAAAAUUUAUUUAAAAAUUAUGAUUUAAUAAAUUUAUAUAAAAACUAGGAUUAGAUACCCUAUUAUUAAAAUUUAAGUUAAAAUAUUGAAAUAGUAGAUAAUAAUUUAUUGAAACUUAAAUAAUUUGGCGGUAUUUUAGUUCAUUUAGAGGAAUCUGUCUAAUAAUUGAUAAUCCACGAUUAAAUUUACUUAAUUUAAAAUUUUAUAUAUCGUUGUUAAAAAAAUAUUUUUAAAUAAUAAAAAUAUUUAAAAAUUAAAAUAAAAAAUUAAUUCAGAUCAAGAUGUAGAAUAUAAUUAAGAAUAUGAUGGAUUACAAUAAAAUUAUUUAAAUGGAUUUUAUUUUGUAAAUAAAUAAAUAAAGGUGGAUUUAAAUGUAAAUUUAUUUAAUAUAAUAAAUUGAUUUAAAAUUAAAAUAUGUACAUAUUGCCCGUCGCUUUCAUUUUAAAGUUGGAAUAAGUCGUAACAAAGUAGAAGUACUGGAAAGUGUUUCUAGAAUGAA
rnacentral:ncRNA from 1 species